GUGGGGAAUAUUGGACAAUGGGCGCAAGCCUGAUCCAGCCAUGCCGCGUGAGUGAUGAAGGCCUUAGGGUUGUAAAGCUCUUUCAGUGGGGACGAUAAUGACGGUACCCACAGAAGAAGCCCCGGCUAACUUCGUGCCAGCAGCCGCGGUAAUACGAAGGGGGCUAGCGUUGUUCGGAUUUACUGGGAGUAAAGCGCACGUAGGCGGAUAGUUAAGUCGGGGGUGAAAUCCUGGAGCUCAACUCCAGAACUGCCUUCGAUACUGGCGAUCUUGAGUCCGGAAGAGGUGAGUGGAACUCCUAGUGUAGAGGUGGAAUUCGUAGAUAUUAGUAAGAACACCAGUGGCGAAGGCGGCUUACUGGUCCGGAACUGACGCUGAGGUGCGAAAGCGUGGGGAGCAAACAGGAUUAGAUACCCCAGUAGUCC
rnacentral:rRNA from 1 species